rnacentral:tRNA from 1 species
GGCGCAGUUGGUAGCGCGCCACCUUGCCAAGGUGGAGGUCGCGGGUUCGAACCCCGUA